rnacentral:rRNA from 1 species
GUUGGGUAGGGGAGCGUUCUGUAAGCCUGCGAAGGUGUACUGUGAGGUAUGCUGGAGGUAUCAGAAGUGCGAAUGCUGACAUAAGUAACGAUAAUGCGGGUGAAAAACCCGCACGCCGGAAGACCAAGGGUUCCUGUCCAACGUUAAUCGGGGCAGGGUGAGUCGACCCCUAAGGCGAGGCUGAAAAGCGUAGUCGAUGGGAAACGGGUUAAUAUUCCCGUACUGGUGGUAACUGCGAUGGGGGAACGGAGAAGGCUAGGUUGUCCGGGCGACGGUCGUCCCGGUUCAAGCAGGUAGGCAGAGUGAUUAGGCAAAUCCGGUCACUUAAUGCUGAGAUGUGAUGACGAACCACUAAGGUGGUGAAGCAAUUGAUGCCCCGCUUCCAGGAAAAGCCUCUAAGCUUCAGGUUACCAACAAUCGUACCCCAAACCGACACAGGUGGUCAGGUAGAGAAUACUCAGGCGCUUGAGAGAACUCGGGUGAAGGAACUAGGCAAAAUGGUGCCGUAACUUCGGGAGAAGGCACGCUGGCGGUAGGUAAAGUCCCUCGCGGACGGCGCUGAAGCCAGUCGAAGAUACCAGCUGGCUGCAACUGUUUAUUAAAAACACAGCACUGUGCAAACACGAAAGUGGACGUAUACGGUGUGACGCCUGCCCGGUGCUGGAAGGUUAAUUGAUGGGGUUAGCCGUAAGGCGAAGCUCCUGAUCGAAGCCCCAGUAAACGGCGGCCGUAACUAUAACGGUCCUAAGGUAGCGAAAUUCCUUGUCGGGUAAGUUCCGACCUGCACGAAUGGCGUAAUGAUGGCCAGGCUGUCUCCACCCGAGACUCAGUGAAAUUGAACUCGCUGUGAAGAUGCAGUGUACCCGCGGCAAGACGGAAAGACCCCGUGAACCUUUACUAUAGCUUGACACUGAACAUUGAGCCUUGAUGUGUAGGAUAGGUGGGAGGCUUUGAAGUGUGGACGCCAGUCUGCAUGGAGCCAACCUUGAAAUACCACCCUUUAACGUUUGAUGUUCUAACCUAGGCCCAUAAACUGGGUCGGGGACCGUGUCUGGUGGGUAGUUUGACUGGGGCGGUCUCCUCCUAAAGAGUAACGGAGGAGCACGAAGGUUGGCUAAGCAUGGUCGGACAUCAUGCGGUUAGUGCAAAGGCAUAAGCCAGCUUGACUGCGAGAGUGACGGCUCGAGCAGGUACGAAAGUAGGUCUUAGUGAUCCGGUGGUUCUGAAUGGAAGGGCCAUCGCUCAACGGAUAAAAGGUACUCCGGGGAUAACAGGCUGAUACCGCCCAAGAGUUCAUAUCGACGGCGGUGUUUGGCACCUCGAUGUCGGCUCAUCACAUCCUGGGGCUGAAGUAGGUCCCAAGGGUAUGGCUGUUCGCCAUUUAAAGUGGUACGCGAGCUGGGUUUAGAACGUCGUGAGACAGUUCGGUCCCUAUCUGCCGUGGGCGUUGGAAGAUUGAGAGGGGUUGCUCCUAGUACGAGAGGACCGGAGUGAACGCACCACUGGUGUUCGGGUUGUCAUGCCAAUGGCAUUGCCCGGUAGCUAAGUGCGGAAGAGAUAACCGCUGAAAGCAUCUAAGCGGGAAACUUGCCUCGAGAUGAGUCUUCCCUGUCGCUUUAAGCGACCUAAAGGAACGUUUAAGACUAAGACGUUGAUAGGCUGGGUGUGUAAGCGUAGCGAUACGUUGAGCUAACCAGUA